ensembl:snoRNA small nucleolar RNA SNORA2/SNORA34 family
CUGGCCCCGAAUCCAGGCCGGCAGCUUCCUGAUGCUGUUGGUUUCAAGCAGGAGCCUAAAGAGAUGUCUUCCUAUGGUGUGUUAACCAUUUCAGAACUUGGGCAGUGAAACAGCCAAUUCAUUAGAAAGAAACAGCU